GACGAACGCUGGCGGCGCGCCUAACACAUGCAAGUCGAACGGUGAAGAGGAGCUUGCUCCUCGGAACAGUGGCGGACGGGUGAGUAACACGUGAGCAACCUGGCCCUAAGAGGGGGACAACAGUUGGAAACGACUGCUAAUACCGCAUAACGUAUCGGGAUGGCAUCUUCCUGAUACCAAAGAUUUUAUCGCUUAGAGAUGGGCUCGCGUCUGAUUAGAUAGUUGGCGGGGUAACGGCCCACCAAGUCGACGAUCAGUAGCCGGGCUGAGAGGUUGAACGGCCACAUUUGGGCUGAGACACGGCCCAGACUCCUACGGAGGGCAGCAGUGGAGGAUAUUAGGCGAUGGGGGCAACCGUGGUCCAGCGACGCCGCGGGAGGGAAGAAGGUGUUCGUAUUGUAAACCUCUGUUGACGGAAAAAAAAAUGAUGGUAUCCGUUUAGAAAGCCACGGCUAACUACGUG
rnacentral:rRNA from 1 species